rnacentral:rRNA from 1 species
AAGGAAUUUUCCCCAAUGGGCUCACGCCUGAGGGAGCAACGCCGCGUGCAGGACGACGGCCUUCGGGUUGUAAACUGCUUUUGGGUGGGACGAUGAUGACGGUACCGCCCGAAGAAGCCCCGGCUAACUCCGUGCCAGCAGCCGCGGUAAGACGGAGGGGGCAAGCGUUGUCCGGAAUCACUGGGCGUAAAGCGCCCGUAGGCGGUGCGGUGCGUCGGUGCUGAAAGCGCCGGGCUUAACCCGGCGAG